rnacentral:rRNA from 1 species
UACGUAGGGUGCAAGCGUUGUCCGGAAUUAUUGGGCGUAAAGAGCUCGUAGGCGGUUUGUCGCGUCGACUGUGAAAACCCGUGGCUCAACCAUGUGGUCUGCAGUCGAUACGGGCAGGCUAGAAUUCGGUAGGGGAGACUGGAAUUCCUGGUGUAGCGGUGAAAUGCGCAGAUAUCAGGAGGAACACCGGUGGCGAAGGCGGGUCUCUGGGCCGAUAUUGACGCUGAGGAGCGAAAGCGUGGGGAGCGAACAGG